rnacentral:rRNA from 1 species
CGAUAUGCUUUGGGGAGCUGUACGUAAGCGUUGAUCCAGAGAUUUCCGAAUGGGGGAACCCACUAUCUUUAGUCGGAUAGUAUCCUUACGUGAAUACAUAGCGUGAGGAAGGCAGACCCAGGGAACUGAAACAUCUAAGUACCUGGAGGAAGAGAAAGAAAAAUCGAUUUCCUGAGUAGCGGCGAGCGAAACGGAAAGAGCCCAAACCAAGAAGCUUGCUUCUUGGGGUUGUAGGACACUCUAUACGGAGUUACAAAAGAAAGUUAUAAAUGAAGCGGUCUGGAAAGGCCCGCCAAAGACGG